rnacentral:rRNA from 1 species
CGCUCGCCGGUGCGCUACCGCGAGAACCCAAUGGCAUACGAGCCUCCGGUGAUGUGCCACUGCUCAACUCCCAGGAAGGCGCCAAGAUGGAUCUCCUGGAGCAGGCAGAACCCUGGUAGGAGGUACUACAGCUGCGUGGAUGCUAUGGUGAGUGCUGUUUUUUGCCCUAAUUUUCUUCCUCUUUCUUCUGUGCAAUAA